rnacentral:rRNA from 1 species
AAUCAACGCUGGCGGCGUGCCUCAGACAUGCAAGUCGAACGCGAAAGUCCCCUUCGGGGACGAAGUAGAGUGGCGCACGGGUGAGUAACACGUAGGUAAUCUACCUUUGGAUGGGGAAGUAACAACCGGAAACGGUUGCUAAUACCGCAUAAUGCAGCGGCACCUAAUGGUGACAGUUGUUAAAGCGGGGGAUCGAAAGACCUCGCGUCUAAAGAGGAGCCUGCGGCGGAUUAGCUAGUUGGUAAGGAAUGGCUUACCAAGGCUACGAUCCGUAACCGGCCUGAGAGGGCGGUCGGUCACACUGACACU